GUGGGAGGUCCCUUUAAGUUUCCAUUGACAGAGGCCUGAGCGUGUCACAUGGCCAUGAUAUAAUGAAAUGCAGGAGCAGAGAGACAGAGUGCGCUGAGCUCUCGGCUGAUGGAGAAGAGGCCGAAAUGUACGCAGUCAUCAGCCGACCGCCAGCAGCCUGCGGGAGAGGGACAGCGUGGCCGAGCCGAGCCCAGCCGAUCGCGGACGGGGCGAGCCGGACUCACUGCGCCUCAUCACACGGGACCUCUCUUUUCGCAGUUGCACCUGCCAGCUGUGACACGCACUUUAAAAGAGGAGGACAAUUUCCCUUGGUCCCGGAGCAGAAGAGGAGCGCCUUUCAGCGCUUCACUGGAAGUUAAUGUAUGCUGCAGAUGCCUAUGGCCUUCAAUUAAGCAAGCAGGACUGGAAUGAUGCACCCACCGGCAAAAAGGAACAGAGGCUGUGCCACGACUCCGAGCGGACAGACGAACAGACGGAUGGACAGGGAGGAUGACAUCAGCCGUGGGAGCCAGGGCCUGUGUGUGUGUGUGUGUGUGUGUGUGUGUGUGUGUGUCAGUGGGUGCCUCUGUCUCUGCGUGUCACUUCCUGGGAGAGAAUAGAGCAGGAAGCCAAAGUGAAAGCCGACAACAAGCACUCCUACCUCCACAAGGAAGCCUUUCUCCCCAGAGAGCAUGUGUGUGUGUGUGUGUGUGUGUGUGUGUGUGUGUGUGUGUGUGUGUGUGUGUGUGUGUGUGUCCUAAACUCACUCCUGCAUUCAUGCUGCAGGGGGUUGGUGUUGGUUUUUUUCAUAAGCCUCUAAUGUUUCCAUUUUAGUUCAAGACUGACAAUUCUUUUAGAAACUCUCUAGGGACGGGGGCACCUUGGCAGAGGGGCAUCUGUGACAACGAGGGCCAUACAACUGACCUUGUGGCUUUGCCUUAUGACAAAAAUGAAGCAUUAAGUGUUACAGCAGGGCACAGACAUCCACCCAUUCCUCCAUUUGUUAUCCAUAACAGCCCGUUACAUCUCCAUUCUGCUCUCUGCUCUCACUCAUGCAGGGUUUAAAUGCAGGUGAAUUCACAAUACACAGUAACUCUCAGCAUGAACGUUUUCAUCAGCUCAGGUCUCCUCUCAUCUGGACUGUGGUGGCUGGACAGAAAGAGAACAUUUUAGAUUGACUUCAGCAAGAGAUCAACCUGAAACAACAAAAGUUGGAUUAUACUUCAUUCAUGCUACAUAUCUGCUGUGGUGUCAUUUAUUCCCUGAUGACUAGCACUGGGUUGUAUCUCUGUCACCACUGCUGAUGCUGUACAACUGACCCUGACCUUUGACCUCUCUACACUGAGGGCAUUUGAGAUGAGAGCUGCCCCUGUGUGGCUACACAGGCAGUCACGUCACCAUAGUAACACAUGGCAAUAGGGGAGUGCAUAGAUGCCAUGUCGCCCUCUUCUGCCGAUAUGCAGAAUCACAUGAUUCAGGCAGUGCGUUAAACCACAUAUGACAGCAUGACACAAUAUUGUGGCAUGAAUUUAAGUGCAUCUCGGUGUGAGGCCACAUCCUCUUGAUUAGUUUAGCUAUGAAAUGUUGUCCAGCUCUCCUUCCACCGCCAACGCCCUCCUAAGCCUGCAGUAGUCAUAAAAUACCAAGUAAGGAUUUUUUUCAACCUGGACAUGCCAAUUGCCCUCUAGCACGUCAGUCGUUAUGGGUCAUCUGACACUCGUCUGUCAAACACCUGUAAGGGCCACAGGGACAAUGCAGCAUUUACUUUAGCCUUAUUGUCAUGACGACCUGGCCGGUUACAUAAGUGCUGGGCGCCGGUUCCCACAAACAGCGGCACACAGAGGUCUUUGUACUGUGACACGAGACACCACACGCACCCUGUCACAGUUUGUACAUUCCUCCAGCUGGAUGUGCUCCGCUGCUCGUAUGUCACAAAGUAAAUAGAGGUGCGUGGAUGGCAACACAAUGCGGCCACUUCAACAAGCCACUUGAUCUGGUGCUGAGCUUUCAAAUCUGAUUUUUUAGCCGAGUGGGGAGAAGUUGCCCGCUGUGUGGCACAAUUUGCAUUCAGUGUAAAUAGACUCAGACUAAGAUUUUAUCACUGAAAAUUCCUCUGAGAGAUAAUCUCCGUGAUUUUCUUUAACUGGACAGACACUGCAAUGUACCUAAUAGACACUACAUGUUUUAAUCUGCCUGUCAGCACGACCAGAAUCUGUGACGUUUAUGUUCACACUUUAUACAGACCCACGUAGGCCUAAGCAUGGAACCCCCGGUUGGAUUUGUUAAUUGACAGUUCCAAUAAAGACUAUUUAAACAACAAUGUUGACAGAAUGGGAAAUUGUGCAAUUCUACUCAGAGCAGAAAGUUAAAAAAUUAAAUAUGGAGCAAACUGCACAUCAAACAAUAACGGAUCUGGCAGAAAUUUGGCCUAAUUCUAAAAUUAUUCUGGGUGUUCCAGACAAACAUACUGGACAAAUUUGACUUAAGAAAAUUCCUCUGACAAGGGAAGCAAUCUCAUCAAUUUGCUAGAUUAUUUCUUUAAAAAUGUUUGAAUAAAAAUAAGUUUAAAAAAGGUUUUUAAUGGUAAUUUCCCCAUAUAUAUGAUGGAAUGGGAGUGUCACUGCUAACAGCAAUCAACGUCACUAUAGCUCAGGGAUGUUAAAUGAGCCUUUGGAGAGUGUGAACAGUACACAUGAAUACUAAUGCAUGGAUACACAUACAUUCACUGGGGCUUUUAACUCGUCUUCAUGUGAAUCUUCUGUCGUCUUUCCUGAAGAAUCAGUGGCAGUGAGGAUUAAGCUGUAAGUACCCAUCAUUGUAUGCUGUAUGUUUGUGAUGUCUAAAAUAACACCGUGCUUCAGUAUGUAGCUGACAACACCUGCUAUGAAUUCACCCUUUAUGGCUUUGUUGCCACUCGCUGCCGGCCUUGUUUGUUGUGAUGUCUGUUAUGUUUGAAUUCCUCUGCUGCUGGAGGAGAAUUUUCACGUUCCAGUCGUCCAUGCCGCUGCACUGCCAUGACAACCACACUUUCUCUAAAUAAGAAGCGCUGUCAUGUUUUUUCCUCCGCUGACAGAAUGCCUCAUCCACUGACGGGGAGGAUAUCAGCCAAGAGUAUGAUUGAACUAACUUGACUACCAGUGAUGUGUGUGUUUGUAGCAUGCCUGAAUGGCUUUGCACGAUGUCCUUGUUGAUGUUGAUGCAUUACUGUCAUUUCAUGUUGUGCUUUUGACAAAGAAUAGGCCUUAUUAUGUAUAUUAUUUAUUAUUAUUUGAAGUAGUUGUAGCACUAGCAGUGUUAUUUUAAAAGUAGGAUUUUGACCUUGGCAACAAUAGUUUGCAGGGCUGGGUUAAACCCCUAUGCGGCCCCACUGCUAAAAUCUGGGCCCCUGUUGUACCAACGUGAUAUCAUGGAAUGGCGUAUAAAUAGCACGCCACUUUUAAGGACAUUUUCGGUGUGCCAUGUCAAUGCAUUUAAAGCUUUUUGCAUACAAAAUUUAAGCAAAAGGUUAGCAGUAAAGUACAUCGAUGCUAAAGUAGGAUCGUUAGCUAACUAGCUAAUUAAAAUUUAAUGUAGCUAUCGGAGCAUAGCUAAUGUUAGCAAUGAUGUAGCUUGGUAACUUAUGUAACGUAAAUGAAAACCAAAAACAAUGUGUAAUUAUUGUUUCACUCGGGAACGCCGGUGCCCUGGGUCAGGGUCCAGGGCAGUUGUCCACUUUAUCCUCUAACCAGCUAAGGUCCUUUGAAGUUAAGAUUAAAUGCGUCUUAACAUGGGUCUACUCACUAUAUACUUUGUCUAGGUUGAGGGAGGAUUCAACCUUAUGCCAUUCCAAAUAAGGUAACAAACAUCCAUUAGCAUCUUAUUCUCCUUAAGGAGCUAAUAAAAUCCACCAGAAAAAUCAAAACUUUUUUUUUUAAAGGAGAUGAAACUAGUGACUGUAACUCCCUGCUGUCGGUACACCUCACCACUGCAGCUGUGAUCUGACACCAAAAACGUCUUCCCCCAGAAGCUGGUUUCAUGUGGUGGUUUAGAUGUGUGUUCCCGUUGUCUAGCACCAUUUGAAAUCAGUGUUCUGAGGGACAGGAGGACAGCUCCGGCAGUGAGGGACUGCCCCUCGUCCUCUCUCCUCCUCGUCCUCCUCCUCUUUCUCCACUAAAAGAUAACUGAUUUCCUCUUGUGCUUAGAGCCCGCUACAGCCUUCUAGCACCAUUUGAAAUCGGUUAUAAAACUGUGGAUCAAUGAGUCUGAGUCAUCAGUAAAACGCAGGACAAGCAGAAGAAAGCAACUACUGGCUGUUUGUUUCUUGACUCCGCUGGAUGAGUUUGAAGGUUAUACAUGGAUGUUGUUUUUAACUUCUACCGUUAAUGGAUAACAACAUGAUCUCAGCUCUAAUAAAUCUAUAUACUUGUAUCUUUUGCAAAA